GACGUAGGGCGCAAGCGUUUGUCCGGAUUUAUUGGGCGUAAAGAGCUCGUAGGCGGCUUGUUGCGUCGUCCGUGAAAACCUGUGGCUCAACUACAGGCUUGCGGUCGAUACGGGCGGGCUGGAGUUCGGUAGGGGAGACUGGAAUUCCUGGUGUGAGCAGUUGGAAAUGACGUAGAUAUCGAGAGGAACACCAGUGGCGAAGGCGGCGAUCUGGGAAGAUACUGACGCUGAGGUGCGAAAGCGUGGGGAGCGAACAGG
rnacentral:rRNA from 1 species